rnacentral:rRNA from 1 species
AUGCACGCUGGCGGCGUGCCUCAUACAUGCAAGUCGAGCGAACAGACGAGGAGCUUGCUCCUCUGACGUUAGCGGCGGACGGGUGAGUAACACGUGGAUAACCUACCUAUAAGACUGGGAUAACUUCGGGAAACCGGAGCUAAUACCGGAUAAUAUAUUGAACCGCAUGGUUCAAUAGUGAAAGACGGUUUUGCUGUCACUUAUAGAUGGAUCCGCGCCGCAUUAGCUAGUUGGUAAGGUAACGGCUUACCAAGGCAACGAUGCGUAGCCGACCUGAGAGGGUGAUCGGCCACACUGGAACUGAGACACGGUCCAGACUCCUACGGGAGGCAGCAGUAGGGAAUCUUCCGCAAUGGGCGAAAGCCUGACGGAGCAACGCCGCGUGAGUGAUGAAGGUCUUCGGAUCGUAAAACUCUGUUAUUAGGGAAGAACAAAUGUGUAAGUAACUAUGCACGUCUUGACGGGACCUAAUCAGAAAGCCACGGCUAACUACGU